UUAAAGGAAUUGACGGAAGGGCAACUCCAGGAGUGGAAGCCUGCGGCUUAAUUUGACUCAACACGGGAAAACUUACCCGGCCCGGACACCGGAAGGAUUGACAGAUUAAUAGCUCUUUCUUGAUUCGGUGGGUGGUGGUGCAUGGCCGUUCUUAGUUGGUGGAGCGAUUUGUCUGGUUAAUUCCGAUAACGAACGAGACUCUAGCCUACUAAAUAGACCCACGAUCCAUUGUAUCGUGAGCGGGUCUUCUUAGAGGGACAGGCGGCUUUUAGCCGCACGAAACAGAGCAAUAACAGGUCUGUGAUGCCCUUAGAUGUCCGGGGCCGCACGCGCGCUACACUGAAGGAAUCAGCAUGUGUCUAACCUAGUCCGAAAGGACCGGGUAACCCUGUGAACCUCCUUCGUGAUAGGGAUAGGGGAUUGUAAUUAUUCCCCUCGAACGAGGAAUUCCCAGUAAGCGCGAGUCAUCAGCUCGCGUUGAUUACGUCCCUGCCCUUUGUACACACCGCCCGUCGCUACUACCGAUUGAAUGAUUUAGUGAGGUCUUCGGACUGGCCCAACGAACGGCCUCGGCCGCUCUCUGAGCCGGGAAGAUGACCAAACUUGAUCAUUUAGAGGAAGUAAAAGUCGUAACAAGGUUGCC
rnacentral:rRNA from 1 species